CAUUCUUGACCAUUCGCGAAUGUCAAGUGCUGGUAAGCAAAGUGCUACGUUCGGUCGGUCGUCUAACAGACGAACUUGAAGACGAGAUGCAAAUAGAGAUCGCUGCAACGUUGCCCUUGGCAAUUGACGCAGCUAAAGAUAUCGAAGAAAAGCUGGAAAAACAGGAAUACUUCGAAUCAAUGAAAAUCUACUUGUUCCAAAUGAAAGGAAGCAACGGAACGGUGGAUGACGUUUUCCGAAGGGUCAUGACCGAGGAACUAGCCUUUUUAUUCAAUUUUGAUGGAAGGAGAAGAACGCGUUAACAAAAUUGAAACUAAUUAACCAAGUUUUAAGCGAGGUUUUCGCAACUGAAGGUUGAAAAGGCGUCAAGGAAAAGCAUUGAGUUGAGUCACAAUCGCUUUCACCAAAA